CCCAGACAGCCAGGAUGUUGGCUUAGAAGCAGCCAUCAUUUAAAGAAAGCGUAAUAGCUCACUGGUCGAGUCGGCCUGCGCGGAAGAUGUAACGGGGCUAAACCAUGCACCGAAGCUGCGGCAGCGAACGUAUCACUUAAAGCGAUUCAGCGGGUUACGAUUGACGGAGCGAAGCGACGUCAAAGCGUAUACAAAGUCGAGUCGGUUUAAGGAUACGUUCGUUGGGUAGGGGAGCGUUCUGUAAGCCUGUGAAGGUGGCCUGUGAGGGUUGCUGGAGGUAUCAGAAGUGCGAAUGCUGACAUAAGUAACGAUAAAGCGGGUGAAAAGCCCGCUCGCCGGAAGACCAAGGGUUCCUGUCCAACGUUAAUCGGGGCAGGGUGAGUCGACCCCUAAGGCGAGGCCGAAAGGCGUAGUCGAUGGGAAACGGGUUAAUAUUCCCGUACUUGGUGUUACUGCGAAGGGGGGACGGAGAAGGCUAUGUUGGCCGGGCGACGGUUGUCCCGGUUUAAGCGUGUAGGUGUGUGUUCCAGGUAAAUCCGGUUCACUUUAACACUGAGGCGUGACGACGAGGCACUACGGUGCUGAAGCAACAAAUGCCCUGCUUCCAGGAAAAGCCUCUAAGCAUCAGGUAACAUCAAAUCGUACCCCAAACCGACACAGGUGGUCAGGUAGAGAAUACCAAGGCGCUUGA
rnacentral:rRNA from 5 species